rnacentral:rRNA from 1 species
GGGUCCCACCUCUUCCCAUUCCGAACAGAGAAGUUAAGCCCGCUUGCGCCGAUGGUACUGCAAUGCAAUGUGGGAGAGUAGGUAGCCGCCU